GACGAACGCUGGAGGCGUGCUUAACACAUGCAAGUCGAACGAUGAAAUGGAGCUUGCUCCAUGGAUUAGUGGCGAACGGGUGAGUAACACGUGAAUAACCUGCCCUUAAUUUUGGAAUAACCCAGGGAAACCUGGGCUAAUACCGGAUAAGUAAACCUGUGGCAUCACAGGGUUUUGGAAAGUUUUUCGAUUAAGGAUGGAUUCGCGGCCUAUCAGCUUGUUGGUGAGGUAAUGGCACACCAAGGCGACGACGGGUAGCCGGCCUGAGAGGGUGAACGGCCACACUGGGACUGAGACACGGCCCAGACUCCUACGGGAGGCAGCAGUGGGGAAUAUUGCGCAAUGGACGAAAGUCUGACGCAGCGACGCCUCGUGAGGGACGAAGGUCUUCGGAUUGUAAACCUCUUUCAGCAGGGACGAAGCGAAAGUGACGGUACCUGCAGAAGAAGCACCGGCUAACUAUGUGCCAGCCGCCGCAGUAA
rnacentral:rRNA from 1 species